rnacentral:rRNA from 1 species
GUAGCCAAGUACGGACGGGAUAAGCGCUGAAAGCAUCUAAGCGUGAAGCCCCCCUCAAGAUGAGAUUUCCCAGUAUGUAAGACCCCUUGAAGACGACGAGGUUGAUAGGUUCGGGGUGGAAGCACAGCAAUGUGUGGAGCUGACGAAUACUAAUCGGUCGAGGGCUUAUCCUAA